UACAGAGGGUGCAAGCGUUGCUCGGAAUCAUUGGGCGUAAAGGGUAGGUAGGUGGUCUCAUUUGUCUGGGGUGAAAUCCUUGAGCUUAACUCAAGAAGUGCCCUAGAAACGGUGAGACUGGAGUCCUGGAGAGGGUCGUGGAAUUCCCGGUGUAGCGGUGAAAUGCGUAGAGAUCGGGAGGAACACCAGAGGCGAAGGCGGCGACCUGGACAGGUACUGACACUCAACUACGAAAGCGUGGGGAGCAAACAGG
rnacentral:rRNA from 1 species